UCCGGUGUGGUUUAGUUGGUCAUAACACCGUAGUAGUCCUCCACCUCGGGAUGAACCGGAAACCCGAGUUCGAUCCUCGGCGCCGGAC